CAUCGUUUCUUUGGACAGUGUUCUUUUUCCCGGCCACUUGGGGGAAGCAACGGCCAACAGUGAACACAUUUCAACUCAUUACACUUGAUGUUGCCAACAAAUCCGUCGUUACGCAGCAUCAGCAUCAUUUAUUUGGAGACUGCCCACAAACACGUCCUGUGGAAAUGAGACAGUCCUAGUCUCUACAGUGACACAGGGAACCUCUUGACAACAGAACACGCUCACAAAUGAUCGAACACAUUUGCAGAUUAAUUGUCAAGUUAACAUCCACCAACUGAUCCAGCCAAUUCAAGGCAACAUCUCUAGAAUGAAAAAGAAAUGCAUGAGCAAAUCUUUACAGCGUUGAAGGGGAAACAGCACAAGAUGGACUGUACAGGCUUCCACGCUGGACAAGCAGUUUGUCAUAACAUUGGUUCCUCUACGCAUCUGUGCCCGGAUCGGUGAGAGACGAU
ensembl:lncRNA